UACGGGAGGCAGCAGUGGGGAAUAUUGCACAAUGGGCGAAAGCCUGAUGCAGCUAUGCCGCGUGUAUGAAGAAGGCCUUAGGGUUGUAAAGUACUUUCAUCGGGGAGGAAAAAACAAAACUAAUAAUUUUAUUUCUUGACGUUACCCGAAAAAGAAGCACCGGCUAACUCCGUGCCAGCAGCCGCGGUAAUACGGAGGGUGCUAGCGUUAAUCAGAAUUACUGGGCGUAAAGAGCACGUAGGUGGUUUUUUUAAGUCAGAUGUGAAAUCCCUGGGCUUAACCUAGGAACUGCAUUUUGAAACUGAAAUACUAGAGUAUCGUAGAGGGAGGUAGAAUUCUAGGUGUAGCGGUGAAAUGCGUAGAUAUCUGGAGGAAUACCUGUGGCGAAAGCGGCCUCCUAAACGAAUACUGACACUGAGGUGCGAAAGCGUGGGGAGCAAACAGGGAUUAGCC
rnacentral:rRNA from 1 species